UUUCGUCGGCUACGUUCGUCGUCAUCCGGCCACCAAAUCGGACGAAUUAGGCACCCGGGCACCAGGUGACCCGCAGGAGGGAC